rnacentral:tRNA from 1 species
GGUAGAUGGCUCAGUGGUUAAGAGCACUGACUGCUCUUCCAGAGGUCCUGAGUUCAAUCCCCAGCAACCA